rnacentral:rRNA from 1 species
UGAUACAGGUGCUGCAUGGCUGUCGUCAGCUGGUGUCAUGAGAUGUUGGGUUAAGUCCCGUAACGAGCGCAACCCUUAUCCUUAGUUACCAGCGCGUAAUGGCGGGGACUUUAAGGAGACUGCCGGUGACAAACCGGAGGAAGGCGGGGACGACGUCAAGUCAUCAUGGCCCUUACGGGUAGGGCUACACACGUGCUACAAUGGCCGGUACAGAGGGUCGCGAAGCGGUGACGCUGAGCCAAUCUUUCAAAGCCGGUCGUAGUCCGGAUUGGAGUCUGCAACUCGACUCCAUGAAGUCGGAAUCGCUAGUAAUCGCGAAUCAGAAUGUCGCGGUGAAUACGUUCCCGGGCCUUGUACACACCGCCCGUCACACCAUGGGAGUGGGCUGCACCAGAAGCAGGGUUGC